rnacentral:lncRNA from 1 species
CAAUUUAUGUUAACAUUUUCUACUAUGAAAAGGCCCCAUUUGGUAGAAAGCCUCUUCAUCCAUAACAAAUAUUUAAGAUAAUUUUGUGCAUAAUAUAAAUGAAGGUAUAAAAUUAGAUAUUAAUCUAUUUAAUUUUAGCAUUUUUUAAAUUGAAAAUGGAGACUUUUUCUCUCCUGAGUAGCACUGUUGGUUAAAAAUUCUUGCUGUAAAACAGAAGCAUGAGAUAUAUUGAUGUCUUUGAGUUAAAUGUAACAUUUUUGCAUGUUAAUUUCUUUUUUAACUUCCUGCUGUAAUUAGGGACCCACUUAAGAUUUGAUUUAUUUCUGGUGUCUUGCUUAUGUAAGUAUUAUUUUAAAUUAAGAAAAUCCACAAGUAUACAUGUGAAAUUAACAUGAAUUUGUAAUCCACAUCAUGAUUCUACUUUCCACAGAGAUUGAUAGCUGUAAUAUGUGGAAGUGCACAUAUAAAUGAUUUAUGUUUGUGCGU